UAUGGAUUGUAAACUGCUUUUGUACGGGAAGAAACCCUCCUACGUGUAGGAGCUUGACGGUACCGUAAGAAUAAGGAUCGGCUAACUCCGUGCCAGCAGCCGCGGUAAUACGGAGGAUCCAAGCGUUAUCCGGAAUCAUUGGGUUUAAAGGGUCUGUAGGCGGUCUUGUAAGUCAGUGGUGAAAGCCCAUCGCUCAACGGUGGAACGGCCAUUGAUACUGCUGGACUUGAAUUAUUGGGAAGCAACUAGAAUAUGUAGUGUAGCGGUGAAAUGCUUAGAGAUUACAUGGAAUACCAAUUGCGAAGGCAGGUUGCUACCAAUGGAUUGACGCUGAUGGACGAAAGCGUGGGUAGCGAACAGGAUUAGAUACCCUGGUAGUCCACGCCGUAAACGAUGGAUACUAGCUGUUGGGCGCAAGUUCAGUGGCUAAGCGAAAGUGAUAAGUAUCCCACCUGGGGAGUACGAACGC
rnacentral:rRNA from 1 species